rnacentral:rRNA from 1 species
GAACGCUGGCGGCGUGCUUAACACAUGCAAGUCGAGCGGAAAGGCCCUUCGGGGUACUCGAGCGGCGAACGGGUGAGUAACACGUGAGUAACCUGCCCUAGGCUUUGGGAUAACCCUCGGAAACGGGGGCUAAUACCGAAUAUUCAUGCUGCGUGGCAUCACGUGGUGUGGAAAGUUUUUCGGCUUGGGAUGGGCUCGCGGCCUAUCAGCUUGUUGGUGGGGUGAUGGCCUACCAAGGCGACGACGGGUAGCCGGCCUGAGAGGGCGACCGGCCACACUGGGACUGAGACACGGCCCAGACUCCUACGGGAGGCAGCAGUGGGGAAUAUUGCACAAUGGGCGGAAGCCUGAUGCAGCGACGCCGCGUGAGGGAUGAAGGCCUUCGGGUUGUAAACCUCUUUCGACAGGGACGAAGCGCAAGUGACGGUACCUGGAGAAGAAGCGCCGGCCAACUACGUGCCAGCAGCCGCGGUAAGACGUAGGGCGCGAGCGUUGUCCGGAUUUAUUGGGCGUAAAGAGCUCGUAGGCGG